rnacentral:rRNA from 1 species
UUACAUUUGAGUGAGUGGCGAACUGGUGAGUAACACGUGGGAAACCUGCCCAGAAGCGGGGGAUAACACCUGGAAACAGAUGCUAAUACCGCAUAACAACUUGGACCGCAUGGUCCGAGUUUGAAAGAUGGCUUCGGCUAUCACUUUUGGAUGGUCCCGCGGCGUAUUAGCUAGAUGGUGGGGUAACGGCUCACCAUGGCAAUGAUACGUAGCCGACCUGAGAGGGUAAUCGGCCACAUUGGGACUGAGACACGGCCCAAACUCCUACGGGAGGCAGCAGUAGGGAAUCUUCCACAAUGGACGAAAGUCUGAUGGAGCAACGCCGCGUGAGUGAAGAAGGGUUUCGGCUCGUAAAACUCUGUUGUUAAAGAAGAACAUAUCUGAGAGUAACUGUUCAGGUAUUGACGGUAUUUAACCAGAAAGCCACGGCUAACUACGUGCCAGCAGCCGCGGUAAUACGUAGGUGGCAAGCGUUGUCCGGAUUUAUUGGGCGUAAAGCGAGCGCAGGCGGUUUUUUAAGUCUGAUGUGAAAGCCUUCGGCUCAACCGAAGAAGUGCAUCGGAAACUGGGAAACUUGAGUGCAGAAGAGGACAGUGGAACUCCAUGUGUAGCGGUGAAAUGCGUAGAUAUAUGGAAGAACACCAGUGGCGAAGGCGGCUGUCUGGUCUGUAACUGACGCUGAGGCUCGAAAGUAUGGGUAGCAAACAGGAUUAGAUACCCUGGUAGUCCAUACCGUAAACGAUGAAUGCUAAGUGUUGGAGGGUUUCCGCCCUUCAGUGCUGCAGCUAACGCAUUAAGCAUUCCGCCUGGGGAGUACGGCCGCAAGGCUGAAACUCAAAGGAAUUGACGGGGGCCCGCACAAGCGGUGGAGCAUGUGGUUUAAUUCGAAGCUACGCGAAGAACCUUACCAGGUCUUGACAUACUAUGCAAAUCUAAGAGAUUAGACGUUCCCUUCGGGGACAUGGAUACAGGUGGUGCAUGGUUGUCGUCAGCUCGUGUCGUGAGAUGUUGGGUUAAGUCCCGCAACGAGCGCAACCCUUAUUAUCAGUUGCCAGCAUUAAGUUGGGCACUCUGGUGAGACUGCCGGUGACAAACCGGAGGAAGGUGGGGAUGACGUCAAAUCAUCAUGCCCCUUAUGACCUGGGCUACACACGUGCUACAAUGGAUGGUACAACGAGUUGCGAACUCGCGAGAGUAAGCUAAUCUCUUAAAGCCAUUCUCAGUUCGGAUUGUAGGCUGCAACUCGCCUACAUGAAGUCGGAAUCGCUAGUAAUCGCGGAUCAGCAUGCCGCGGUGAAUACGUUCCCUGGCGUUGUACACACCGCCCGUCACACCAACAGAG